rnacentral:rRNA from 1 species
UUCGAUGCAAAGCGAAGAACUUUACCAAGACUUAACAUGCCGCAAAUCCUCUUGAAAGAAAGGGAUGUCUUUGAGAACACAGACACAGGUGGUGCAUAGCUGUCGUCAGCUCGAGCUCUACCAAUAGAGCUAUAUCCCCCGAGCCAAGUG